rnacentral:misc_RNA from 1 species
AAGUUAUGCAUCUGGACAGGAAAAA